rnacentral:rRNA from 1 species
AGAGCGAACGCUGGCGGCAGGCUUAACACAUGCAAGUCGAGCGGGCGUAGCAAUACGUCAGCGGCAGACGGGUGAGUAACGCGUGGGAACGUACCUUUUGGUUCGGAACAACCCAGGGAAACUUGGGCUAAUACCGGAUAAGCCCUUACGGGGAAAGAUUUAUCGCCGAAAGAUCGGCCCGCGUCUGAUUAGCUAGUUGGUGAGGUAAUGGCUCACCAAGGCGACGAUCAGUAGCUGGUCUGAGAGGAUGAUCAGCCACAUUGGGACUGAGACACGGCCCAAACUCCUACGGGAGGCAGCAGUGGGGAAUAUUGGACAAUGGGCGCAAGCCUGAUCCAGCCAUGCCGCGUGAGUGAUGAAGGCCCUAGGGUUGUAAAGCUCUUUCGCCCGCGACGAUGAUGACGGUAGCGGGAGAAGAAGCCCCGGCUAACUUCGUGCCAGCAGCCGC